UCCAAGGAAUCAAUCUCAUCAAAAGGUAUGUAAUCUCAUCUAACUCUUUUAUGUUUAAAUGUUCCCCAUGCCAUGUUAGAUAGGUUAUGAACCUUGGAAAAUUAUUAUUUUGCAUGUAUUUAGACAAACAUAGAUCCAAGGUUUAUUAGGGUUGCAUGCACACUUAGGAAGUGUUAGAUUGCUCAAAACCCAACAGUGGUAUCAGAGCCUAGGCUUGCUUGUUUGAUACUUGAUGCAAAAUAGUGAAAAAAGUCGAAAUCGUUGCUGUCUGCAUGCUAGACUCGCCGAGUCCAUUGGGGGGACUCGCCGAGUCCAAGGCAAACUUCAACCUACUCGACGAGUCCGUUCGUGCACUCGGCGAGUAGGAUCGAAAGAAUGCAGAAUCUCGACUUUUGCUGCUGGAAAUGGACUGGAAACAUUACCCUAAAUUGUUUUGGUGUUGUAAAACUUAUUUUAGUUGGUGUAAUGGUUGUUCUAAUCCAUUUACAAUAGCAUAUAUCAAAAAUCCAUGAUUUUAUGUGUUCAUAUAAUUCUUGAAUUUUUGAUGAUCAUGUUCAUGUUCUUAUGAAUUUAGAAAAUGAUAGGAAUUAUUUGCUGAAUUGUUUAGAAUUAAUUCUUAAUCAUUUAUGUGUUUUAAUGGAGUCCAUAAUUUGUCCUCAAGUUAUGGAUUACCAAAGGUCACUUUCAUUUAACACACACUUAAAACACAUAAGUUACAUGAAAAUGAAGAGUCUUCAUUUUUAUGAACCUUUAAUUCAUAAGUUAUGAAAUGAAGAGUUUUGCAAAGUUACAAAACUUGUCCUCAAGUUUUGGAAUUUGUAAAGUUUCACACACUUUAAUAAACUUUAAUUCCAAACCUUAGAGUUUUAAUAGUUAAAAUUCAACCCUUAUACUAUUUAUAACAUUAAUGGUUAAUUAUUAUAUAUAUGUAUAAGAAUAAGUCGUUUUACCGUUAGUAGGCCUCAUUCACGAAGCCGGUCUAUAAGGUGGGUAUAAGGUUGUUGCCUAUAAAAUGGCGACUUAAUGGGUGUAUACUCUCACCCACCGCUUGCUUGAUCGGUGGAGGGUCGUUAGCCGAACGGGUAGAACAACGACUUUAAAUCCUCAUUAAAAGUAUAAUGAAUAUUAUAAAAUAACUAAACUCUUUUAAUUCCCAAUCUUAGUUAUUUUAGGAAAAUGUGAACAUGGUGCUAAUCCAUGGAAUUCACACUUUGUACCUUACCAAGUCGUUAGUGGAGCGUGUGUGGUUAACCGGCACACUAAUUAGACUAGUAAGGAUCACGAAGGGUAACUUAAUGUUGUCAUAGAUCAAUGGAGCGUGUGUGGUUAACCGGCACAUUGAUUAGGUGAUAAUAUUAGGAGUACCAAGUGAGUUAGCAUGGUUAUUCACACCUUGUUUUGUGAUCCUCGGCAUCCCAGUCACAAAACUUGAAGGGCACAAUCGAGAUUGAAACAUGCCAUUGAAAAGUUCAAUGAAUCUCAAAAGAAUCUAGGAAUUUCAAAUCCAAUUAAACCUAAUUAAUCAUUUCGUUUUCAUGGUGGAAAUUGGUGAAUCGUCAUUCGCCUACCUUUCAAAUAUAUUAUUACUUAGAUUACGGCAUCCCUCUUCUAAGUGUAAUAUAUUGUGAUUGGAUCCUAGCCUUAAUAUUACAUUUGGGUGUCUUAUUAAGGAUCCUAAAUAUCUAAUCUAAACUUACUUUCUUCUUUCAGAUGUCUUCCAACACUAAUGCUUCAGGCUCUAACCCAACUGGUUCUUUCUCUCUCAUGAAUCUUUGUGGGAGGGUCAUCUUUGAUGGUUCCAACUUCAUGGAUUGGAUUAGGAACAUCAGGAUGGUUACUCGUUACGAGGACAAGGAAUAUGUCCUCGAUAAGGAGUUAAAAGAACUUGAUGAGUCUACUGCUACUCCUGAGGAGAUCGCUGAAUUCAGGACUCAUGAGAGAGAUGCUACUAAGGUGGCAUGUAUCAUGAUGGCCACGAUGACAGCCGAGCUCCAAAAGUCAUAUGAAGAUUUCUACCCUUUUGAGAUGCACCAAGACUUGAUGGAAAGGUACCAUCAGAGUGCUCGUCAGGAGCGGUAUGAAAUAAUCUCCUCCAUAAUAACUACCCGCAUGAAGGACGGUGAAUCCGUCACGGGCCACAUGCAAAAGAUGCAAAGGUAUGUGGACCGUUUGCUGAAGCUGAAUGUUAACAUCCCCGAGGAGUUAGCAAUUGACAUCAUUUUGCACUCCUUGCCUUCUUGUUAUGAUCAUUUUCGAAUGACAUAUCAUAUGAACAAGGAGGAAGUUACCCUCAGCAAGCUUCAAGGACUCUUGAAGACCGCUGAAACCGGUCUUAAGGGUAAAGCGGUUGUUACCUCUACUACUCCUACUCCAACUUCUACCCCUGUUUUAGCUAUUGGGCAAGGCAAAGGGAAAAAGAGGAAGCACCCUUCGAAGGGUACCAAGGGAAAGUCUCUUGAAGGCUCCUCAUCCAAGACUAAGAACGGUUCUGUCACUCCUUCUGCCAUUCCAAAGGAUGCUGAAUGCUUUUAUUGCCAUGAAAAGGCACACUGGAAGCGAAACUGCCCUAAGUACUUGCAGGAUCUAAAGGAUGGGAAAGUGAAACCCACCUAUGCAGGUAUUUACACUAUAUUGUCUAAUUACUCAACAUAUUCUAACUCUUGGGUGCUUGAUACAGGAUGUGGUAUUCACAUAUGUUCUGAUUUGCAGGGCCUAAGAAGAAGUGAGGAUGUGGAGCACGGGAAGAUAAACUUGAUCAUGGGGAAUAGGAAGGCUUCACCUGUUUCCAAGAUUGGAGUUUAUACUUUGUUGCUUAAUAAUGGGUUAAAAUUAGAUUUGAAUAAAUGUGUGUACUCGUCUGAAAUUGCGAGGAAUAUUAUUUCUUUUCAUGCUUUGUACAAACAAGGUUUUACCUUUUCGUUUGAUACUGAAUGUGGUGGUAUUAAUGCUUUCUUUAAAAAAGUGUUUAAUUUUAAAGCAUUACCUUGUGAUGGUGUGUAUGAAACUGUGUCGAUUGUAGACAACUUAGGAAAUAAUGUGUUGUAUAUUGAUUCUUCUACUAGCCUAGAUAAAGCAUCAUUGUGGCAUUGUCGUCUUGGACAUGUAAACAAGAAACGCAUAGGCCAACUCCAAAAAAGUGGAGUCUUGGAGUCAUUCGACCUUAAAUCGGAUGAUAGUUGUGAAUCUUGUCUACUUGGAAAGAUGACAAAAUCACCCUUCACUGGAACUCGUGAAAGGGGUGAGGGUUUGUUGGACCUAAUACAUACUAAUGUGUGUGGGCCAUUCAAAACCGUCACAAGGGAUGCUAAUCGGUAUUAUGUGACUUUUAUUGAUGAUUUUAGUAGAUAUGGGUAUGUCUACUUAAUCAAACAUAAGUCAGAAACCUUUGAAAGGUUUAAGGAAUUCAAACAGGAAGUAGAAAAUCAAUUGGGCAGGAACAUUAAGAUGCUUCGAUCCGAUCGAGGUGGUGAGUAUCUUAGUACCGAGUUCCUUGACUAUCUUAAGGAGUGUGGGAUUUUCUCACAAUUGACUCCUCCCAGGACACCACGGCUGAAUGGUGUAGCUGAGAGGCAUAAUCGAACCUUGUUAGACAUGUUUCGCUCUAUGAUGAGUCGAGCUUCGUUACCAAUCUCUUUUAGGGGGUAUGCCAUAGAGACUGCCGCCCAUAUCCUUAAUUUAGUCCCUACAAAGAAGGUUACCAAAACACCUCAUGAGAUGUGGACUGGGAAGGUUCCCAAUUUGGACCACAUCAAAAUUUGGGGUUGCGAAGCCUUCGUGAGGCGUGAAACUCAUGAUAAGCUUGAACCCCGAAGUGAAAGGUGUAUUUUCAUCGGCUGCCCACAGAAAUCCUUCGGUUACCUCUUCUACAGACCCAGUGAGAAUGUGGUCUUUGUAGUAAGAGGAGGGGUCUUUCGUGAGAGAGAAUUUAUAAGCCAAGGAGACAGUGGGAGGCAAAUUGAUCUUGAAGAAAUUCAAGAAGCAAUUGGUGAAGGAACCUCAGACACUAGCAAUCAACCUGAGGAAGAAACUCCUGUUGAUCCAGCUGACGAGUCUGUACCUCCGAGACGUUCCACACGGGUUAGGAACACACCUUCGUUUUAUUAUGGCUUUCAUAUUACUACGGAAGGUGAUACGUUUAUCAGUGAUAGUACACUGGUAAAUUUGGAUGAACCUAGCAGUGUUAAGGAAGCCAUGGCAGGCCCGAAAUCUGCUAAAUGGAAGGAGGCUAUGGACAGCGAGAUACAGUCCAUGUAUGACAAUCAAGUUUGGAACUUGGUUGACAAUGUACCAGGCCGUAAAACAGUCGGGUGCAAAUGGAUCUUCAAAAAGAAGACCGACAUGGAAGGAAAAGUGCAUACUUAUAAGGCUCGACUGGUUGCGAAGGGUUUUACUCAAACUCAAGGUAUUGAUUAUGAUGAAACCUUCUCGCCGGUGGCCAAGAUUAAGUCUAUUAGGGUUAUGUUAGCCAUUGCAGCAUUUCAUGAUUAUGAAAUAUGGCAAAUGGAUGUCAAAACCGCUUUCCUUAAUGGAAAGUUGGCUGAGGAUGUGUACAUGAAUCAGCCAGAGGGUUUUGUCAAUGCAGAGUACCCUAAUAGAGUAUGCAAGCUUAAGAAAUCCAUUUAUGGAUUAAAACAAGCAUCUCGUAGCUGGAAUCUUUGUUUUGAUGAGAAGGUAAAAGAGUUUGGCUUCUUGAGAAGCGAAGAUGAGUCUUGCGUGUAUGUCAGAGCUAGUGGGAGUAUAGUUAGCUUCUUGGUACUGUAUGUGGAUGACAUACUACUCAUAGGAAAUGACAUCCCAACCUUGCAGGAGGUUAAGUCCUGGCUUGGGAAGUGCUUUGCUAUGAAGGACCUAGGGGAGGCUACCUAUAUCCUAGGGAUAAGGAUAUUAAGAGAAAGGAGUAGAAGACUAAUUGGACUUAGUCAGAGUAUCUACUUGGAUAAGGUGUUGAAAAGGUUCAACAUGGAGAAUUCCAAGAAAGGAGAUUUACCGAUCCAAAGCAAUACCAAACUGAGUAAGACUCAGAGUCCGAGUACAGAGGCUGAGAUAGCUGAGAUGAGCCAAUUACCAUAUGCUUCCGCAGUUGGCUCGAUCAUGUAUGCUAUGACUUGUACCCGUCCUGAUGUGGCAUUUGCUUUGAGCAUGGUCAGCAGGUAUCAGGGGAACCCUGGCAAGGCUCAUUGGACCGCGGUAAAGAACAUUCUCAAGUACCUGCGGAGGACUAAGGAUUGGGUCCUUACCCUUGGUGGCAGUGAUGACUUGAGAAUAUUAGGGUAUAGUGAUGCUGGUUUUCAGACUGAUAGGGAUAAUUUCCGCUCUCAGUCGGGCUGGAUCUUUACCUUAAAUGGAGGGGCAAUUUCUUGGAAGAGUUCCAAGCAGGAGACGGUGGCUGAUUCGACUUGUGAAUCAGAGUAUAUAGCAGCGAGUGAAGCAGCGAAGGAGGCGAUAUGGCUGAAGAACUUCAUCGGAGACCUUGGAGUUGUACCAGCUAUUAAGGAACCUAUGGAGAUUUUUUGUGACAGCAAUAGUGCGGUUGCCUAAGCCAAGGAACCAAGAGAUCAUGGAAGAUCCCGCCACAUUGAUAGAAAAUAUCACUUCAUAAGACACAAGAUUGAAGAAGGACUCCUCGUGGAAAAGAGGGUAUCGUCAUAUGAGAAUCUCCCUUACGAAGGGACUGACGAGGGUUAAGCAUUUUCAGCAUGCGAGACGCAUCGGGCUGAGGGACGAUAUUAGUUUUACAGAUUAGAUAGUUUUCCUGAAACUUGUAAAAUGUAAUCGACGUUUGAUGAUGAAUAAAAUUUGUGAUUUAUUUAUGAGUAAAGUGUUACUAUCAUUGUCAAUUAUUUACUAUUGUUUCAGUUUUGCAUGUUUUGACUUCCAGAAUAAUUAAUUUAUUCAAACCUCCACAAUCGGUCAUACGUCGGAAGUAGGUAUGAAUCAAGAUUGUCAUGAAUUGGGUUUGUAGAUGGCUAAAGGUGUUUAGACAUGGCAAUGGUUGCUGCAACGUUCAUGAGUACUCAUAAGUUAUGAGUAUUGGUAUAAACCCACGCUCACUUGUAUCACUUCAUGGAAUUUAUCUCGAGUGAUCGUGAGACGAUAAUAUCAUAUAAGUCUUCAAACCUAGAGAUAUGAGUUGUUACCUAUGAGUUGGUUGUGCAUUGAUUGCACGUAAACACAUCAGUAACUUGAUGUUAUAAAACAUGCCUUUGUGUACAAUUCAACAAGUAGUAGAACAAGCAUAUGAGUCGAAGUUUAUAUGUUCCUUAUAGAAAUAGAAGCGAUAUCUGGGCCCCUCGAUGAUUUUGUGUUGACCCAUGUACCGGGCCCGGUCAGAACUAAACUGAUGUGUUCAGUAAAGUUCUUUGUCAAACAAAUCGGAAAUCGAGAAACAACUGCCAGACAAUAAGCAAGACAUAGUUCCAUGUGUUUGUCCGGCUGAUAUCAUGAGAACAGAGGAUUAUAUGAUCACUUGUCUUAAAAUGGCGCUUCAUAGUUCAACAGAGUUUUCGAGAGCUACGAUUGCUGGUUGGUUCCUGAAGUUAUAUAGGCAAAUACAGUUAUUAGACUUAUCCAAGUGGGAGUCUGUUGGAUAAGGUGUCUAAGUCCAUAACUUAUUUGGUAUAUACUUGACCCAACCCGGCAUGGUCCAUUUGGGUUGCACUUCACCCGAACAAUUUAUGGAUAAUUUUAUGAGAGUUAUACACAUAUGUUUAUUAAUAUAUUAUAAGUUAUAAUAUGUUAUGAAGUCAUGUUAUUUAACUAGUCUCAGUCUUAAAUUAAUUAUGAAUUAAUUUAGAGAUUAAAAGGAAGACUAAUUAGAUUGUGGGCUAUUGGUUUUAUAUAGUGUGGGCUAAUACUCAUUUGUUAAUGGGCUAGGCUUGUAUGGAAGUCCAUGGAUGAUCCAUGGAGCUUUUAACCCAUGGAUCCUUGGAAAAGGAAAGGUCAUGGGUUAUUAGGGUUUCACCCUAACCAUGUACACUAUAUAAGCAUGCUUAUGUUGCAUGAAAUAGCCACUAGUGUGUGUGCUUGUGUGUGGCCGAAAAUUGCAAGUGUGUGUACACUCUCUAGAGUUUUCCAAGUGUUUGUGGUGAUUUGUGAUUUCCAUUUGAGGCAUUCACACUAUUGGUGCUUGGUUCUCAAACUCCAAGGAAUUAAUCUCAUCAAAAGGUAUGUAAUCUCAUCUAACUCUUUUAUGUUUAAAUGUUCCCCAUGCCAUGUUAGAUAGGUUAUGAACCUUGGAAAAUUAUUAUUUUGCAUGUAUUUAGACAAACAUAGAUCCAAGGUUUAUUAGGGUUGCAUGCACACCUAGGAAGUGUUAGAUUGCUCAAAACCCAACACUAACCU
rnacentral:lncRNA from 1 species